rnacentral:rRNA from 1 species
GGAGCACCACAACAGGUGGAGCCUGCGGUUUAAUUGGAUUCAACGCCGGACAUCUCACCGGAUAAGACAGCUGAAUGAUUGUCAAUCUGAAGGUUUUACAUGACUAGCUGAGAGGAGGUGCAUGGCCGUCGUCAGUUCGUACUGUGAAGCAUCCUGUUAAGUCAGGCAACGAGCGAGACCCACGCCAACAAUUGCCAGCAGCAUCUCCGGAUGGCUGGGGACAUUGUUGGGACCGCCUCUGCUAAAGGGGAGGAAGGAAUGGGCAACGGUAGGUCAGCAUGCCCCGAAUUAUCCGGGCUACACGCGGGCUACAAUGGAUGGGACAAUGGGUAACUACACCGAAAGGUGCUGUCAAUCUCCUAACCCCAUUCUAGUUAGGAUUGCGGGUUGCAAUUCACCCGCAUGAAUCUGGAAUCUGUAGUAAUCGCGUUUCACAAUAACG